UAGGAAGUAGCUUAAAUUUUAAAGCAAUUUAUUUACAUUAAAAUGAUACUAUGAAGUUUUUCUAA
rnacentral:tRNA from 1 species